rnacentral:rRNA from 1 species
UACGUAGGGGGGCAAGCGUUGUCCGGAUUUAUUGGGCGUAAAGAGCGUGUAGGCGGCCAUACAGGUCAGCUGUGAAAACUCGAGGCUCAACCUCGAGACGUCGGUUGAAACCGUAUGGCUAGAGUCCGGAAGAGGAGAGUGGAAUUCCCGGUGUAGCGGUGAAAUGCGCAGAUAUCGGGAAGAACACCCGUGGCGAAGGCGGCUAGCUCUGGGACCGGUACUGGACGCUGAGACGCGAAAGCGUGGGGGAGCGAACAGGGA